GACGAACGCUGGCGGCGUGCUUAACACAUGCAAGUCGAACGGAAAGGCCCUGCUUUUGUGGGGGGCUCGAGUGGCGAACGGGUGAGUAACACGUGAGUAACCUGCCCUUUACUUUGGGAUAACUUCAGGAAACUGGGGCUAAUACCGGAUAGGAGCUCCUGCUGCAUGGUGGGGGUUGGAAAGUUUCGGCGGUUGGGGAUGGACUCGCGGCUUAUCAGCUUGUUGGUGGGGUAGUGGCUUACCAAGGCUUUGACGGGUAGCCGGCCUGAGAGGGUGACCGGCCACAUUGGGACUGAGAUACGGCCCAGACUGCUACGGGAGGCAGCAGUGGGGAAUCUUGCACAAUGGGCGGAAGCCUGAUGCAGCAACGCCGCGUGCGGGAUGACGGCCUUCGGGUUGUAAACCGCUUUCGCCUGUGACGAAGCGUGAGUGACGGUAAUGGGUAAAGAAGCACCGGCUAACUACGUG
rnacentral:rRNA from 1 species